rnacentral:rRNA from 1 species
CCUACGGGUGGCAGCAGUGGGGGAUAUUGCACAAUGGGGGGAACCCUGAUGCAGCGACGCCGCGUGGGUGAAGGAGUGCUUCGGCAUGUAAAGCCCUAUCGGCAGGGAAGAAGCAAGACGGUACCUGACUAAGAAGCCCCGGCUAACUACGUGCCAGCAGCCGCGGUAAUACGUAGGUGGCAAGCGUUGUCCGGAUUUACUGGGUGUAAAGGGCGUGCAGCCGGGCUGACAAGUCAGAUGUGAAAUCCCGCGGCUCAACCGCGGAACUGCAUUUGAAACUGUCAGUCUUGAGUACCGGAGAGGUCAUCGGAAUUCCUUGUGUAGCGGUGAAAUGCGUAGAUAUAAGGAAGAACACCAGUGGCGAAGGCGGAUGACUGGACGGCAACUGACGGUGAGGCGCGAAAGCGUGGGGAGCAAACAGGAUUAGAUACCCGUGUAGUC